rnacentral:rRNA from 1 species
UCUGGCUGGGAGUGGGGGAUAACGUUCGGAAACGGACGCUAAUACCGCAUACGUCCUACGGGGGAAAGCGGGGGACCUUCGGGCCUUGCGCUAUCAGAUGAGCCUAGGUCGGAUUAGCUAGUUGGUGAGGUAAUGGCUCACCAAGGCUGCGAUCCGUAACUGGUCUGAGAGGAUGAUCAGUCACACUGGAACUGAGACACGGUCCAGCCUCCUACGGGAGGCAGCAGUGGGGAAUAUUGGACAAUGGGCGAAAGC